AUUGAACGCUGGCGGCAUGCCUAACACAUGCAAGUCGAACGGCAGCACAGCAGUAGCAAUACUGUGGGUGGCGAGUGGCGGACGGGUGAGGAAUACAUAGGAAUCUGCCCUGUUGUGGGGGAUAACGUAGGGAAACUUACGCUAAUACCGCAUACGACGGCGACGUGAAAGUGGGGGACCGCAAGGCCUCACGCGAUAGGAUGAGCCUAUGUCGGAUUAGCUAGUUGGCGGGGUAAGGGCCCACCAAGGCGACGAUCCGUAGCUGGUCUGAGAGGAUGAUCAGCCACAAUGGAACUGAGACACGGUCCAGACUCCUACGGGAGGCAGCAGUGGGGAAUAUUGGACAAUGGGGGCAACCCUGAUCCAGCAAUGCCGCGUGGGUGAAGAAGGCCUUCGGGUUGUAAAGCCCUUUUGUACGGGAAGAAAAGCUUCGGAUUAAUACUUCGAGGUCAUGACGGUACCGUAAGAAUAAGCACCGGCUAACUUCGUGCCAGCCGCCGCCGUAACAC
rnacentral:rRNA from 1 species